rnacentral:rRNA from 1 species
AUUGAACGCUGGCGGCAGGCCUAACACAUGCAAGUCGAGCGAGCGGCGGACGGGUGAGUAAUGUAUGGGGAUCUGCCUGAUGGAGGGGGAUAACUACUGGAAACGGUAGCUAAUACCGCAUACCAUCAGAUGAACCCAUAUGGGAUUAGCUUGUAGGUGAGGUAAAGGCUCACCAAGCCGACGAUCUCUAGCUGGUCUGAGAGGAGGACCAGCCACACUGGGACGGAGACACGGCCCAGACUCCUACGGGAGGCAGCAGUGGGGAAUAUUGCGCAAUGGGGGCAACCCUGACGCAGCCAUGCCGCGUGAAUGAAGAAGGCCUUCGGGUUGUAAAGUUCUUUCGGUAGCGAGGCGUUAACUACAGAAGAAGCACCGGCUAACUCCGUGCCAGCAGCCGCGGUAAUUC